rnacentral:rRNA from 1 species
GUGCCAGCCGCCGCGGUAAUACCGGCAGCCCGAGUGAUGGCCGCGAUUAUUGGGCCUAAAGCGUUCGUAGCCUGCCGGACAAGUCCGUUGGGAAAUCCACGCGCUCAACGCGUGGGCGUCCAGCGGAAACUGUCCGGCUUGGGGCCGGAAGACUCGAGGGGUACGUCCGGGGUAGGAGUGAAAUCCCGUAAUCCUGGACGGACCGCCGGUAGCGAAAGCGCCUCGAGAGGACGGACCCGACGGUGAGGAACGAAAGCCAGGGUCUCGAACCGGAUUAGAAACCCCAGUAGUC